rnacentral:rRNA from 1 species
GACGAACGCUGGCGGCGUGCUUAACACAUGCAAGUCGAACGGAAAGGCCCUGCUUUUGUGGGGUGCUCGAGUGGCGAACGGGUGAGUAACACGUGAGUAACCUGCCCUUGACUUUGGGAUAACUUCAGGAAACUGGGGCUAAUACCGGAUAGGAGCUCCUGCUGCAUGGUGGGGGUUGGAAAGUUUCGGCGGUUGGGGAUGGACUCGCGGCUUAUCAGCUUGUUGGUGGGGUAGUGGCUUACCAAGGCUUUGACGGGUAGCCGGCCUGAGAGGGUGACCGGCCACAUUGGAACUGAGAUACGGCCCAGACUCCUACGGGAGGAAGCAGUGGGGAAUAUUGCACAAUGGGCGGAAGCCUGAUGCAGCAACGCCGCGUGCGGGAUGACGGCCUUCGGGUUGUAAACCGCUUUCGCCUGUGACGAAGCGUGAGUGACGGUAAUGGGUAAAGAAGCACCGGCUAACUACGU